UCCGCAGCGCAGGAAUGACCAAAACUAGCCUACUACGGUACCAUUUACAGAAAUUACCAAAAAAAAUGACAAAAAUUACCGAGAGAGGAGCUAAAAUGACCUCAGUAAUACAUGACAUCUACUAUCAUAUUCACAUUAAAAAUUUUGGUCCCUCCUUUGACGACUUCAAUAAUUUUUAAUUUCGGUCAUAUCUUUGGUAUUUUCUGUGAACGUUUGUAAUUUCGGACAUUAUAUGUAACAAUCCUACUAUUCAUUCCACAAUGAAGGCCAGUGGGCCUAGAUUUUUAAUUUGAUACAUGUAUAAACUUAACACUGCGCAAGUUACGUCACGGAAUGCAGUAUAGGGGAGGAGAAAAUAUUUGGCUGGACCAGGAGUCGAACCUAGGAUCCCUGCAUUACUAGUCAGGUGCUCUAACCACUGAGCUAUCCAGGUCGAUAUCCACGGUCCGUGUAGCCCUAACUACUAAAUUCCUCCCUUUAAUUUGUUUUUGCUGUCGAAGACACACGACCCAGAUUCAUUUCACCCCUGGCAGGACAAGAGUAGUCACGGCACCAACUGGUAAAAUCUUGCACAGAGGUCCCUAGGUUCAAUUCCCGAUCCAGCCACAAAUUUUCUCCGUGUAUGUCUAUCUGAGACUGAGUUGGAAAAUUACGGUAUCUUCAUAGUGACAAACUAAUGAAAAUAUUGAUCAAAUUCGACUGGUCAAGGACUGUUAAUAUAAAUAAAUUUGAAACAUUGGUCAUUGUAAUGAUUGGUUUCAUGUUAUACUAAGCUUGUGUUUCAAGACAAGGCUGUCUUUGUUGGUGAUGAUACUGAUGUAUAUAUUUAGAAACAAGUAAUGCUUUGAUUUUGAUUACAGGUGUGGUCUUUAAAAAAAUUAAUGCAUGGCAAGGUUGAUAGUGAGACUAAUAAAUUCUUUCAGCAGAAUUCAGCUAGACACAAAAAAAAAAAGACAAUCACUACAGCCUUCCAAGAAGAUGGACUGCCUCACAAUAGUUUCCUUGAGGACUGUCUUGAAAUAUCCAGAGUUUAAGAUUCAAGAAACGGACUCUAUCUGGAAAAGGAAAACAAUAUCAAAGCUCCUCUGUGAGAAGUUGGCCAAGGAAAGCAUUCAGAAGAAAGUGGAGAUUCAUUGUUUUUACCAGAUCCAGCAGAUCACAGAAAGCAUCUAGUAGGGGAGUUUCCAGGAUUAAGCCAGCCAGUAGAUGAGACUAUUAUAUCAAAAAUACAUUUACUUGUACACGAGGGCACACAAAGCGUUGAUGAAACAAAAAGACAUUUCCAUCUGUUUGUAAAGGAUACUAUUUCACCAGGGAACACCAUCUCAGAAUUUAACAGAUGCUUUUACCCCGCCAAUAAGGAUGUAAGAAAUCACAUUUACAGGGCACCGAGAUUUUGCCAGGUAGUUUAGAACUGUGUGCAUUGGUUUUGGAAGAAUUUGGGCUGUUUAGGCUAAAAUCCAUCAUGUAAGUUCAUCUUUGUGGUGCACAAAUUCCAUAUGGUCAUUUCAAAUAGUCAACAUUGCUUCUAUUUUCAAUCUGAAAUUCUACAUGUAUUUUGUUUGAGAGAUGAAAACAAUCCUCGAAACAUUAUCACCGUUAUCUUUAAUUUUCCAUCAUACUUGUGUCAAAGAGUUGAACUUUCUUUACCAGUAAUUUUAUAUUGACUUCGCAUUGUGUGAUAUAUAAAGUUUUAUGAUUUUAUUUUCUGUCUAAGAUAUUCAAUAUUUAAAGGAAAAAGAUAAUGGUAGGAGAUGGUAGGAUAAAUUCUAAUUAUUCAGAGAAACUUGAUAAAUACUGUGUUUGAGCUUAUAUACUCGAUAACACAAUAGAAGAAUGCAAUUUACUAGUUAAACUUUGAUAGGAUACUAAAUUUAGGAUGAGCCAAUAAGAUUAUGUCUUGUUUUUCAUGUUACAGGAUUGGACAGAAUAUGAACACACACAUCCAAUACUUCAAAGAUAUUAUGUUUGUGGAGGCAGAGAUUUUGAUUGCAUCCACUGUUUAGAAUACAUCCUUAAGGGAAGCAGACUGCCGCCUGUACCCAAUGAUAUAAUGAUUAAUCAUAACUAUAUCUGUUUUGUACCAAAUAGAAAGAGCAUUGAUUCAGGUCAUUUUCAAAUCCACUGGCAUACAUUGUACUAUACAUGCAACCUUUUCAAACUUUACAUUUAAGAUUUUAUAAAGGAAAUAUCUUAAUGUUUCACAUGUUUACCUUUCACUGUGCUAUGUAAUUCAUUAUACCUGCCAUUAUGCCAGUCUUCCUGAACAUAAUUUGUUUUCUGCAAUUUCAUUGGCCAAGAGGUUUAAUCCUGGGUUAUCAGAUUGAGCAUUUAUAUUUAGUAUCCCAUUGAUUUUGUCAGCCCUAUAUAAGGAGCUGACUCAGAUUUACUCACUCUUCUAGGUUAAAGAACUCUAAGGUUUGUACUUUUCACAUGAAUUUCGUGUUCGCCUCUUAUCUUUUACAUAGAGUAGGAAAUGAACAUAACAUUGAGUUAGGGAACUAUUUAGAUUUUACAUUAUAAUAUGUAAAUACCUUAGCAGAGUCAAUUUACUUGGUUCAGGGUAGUAUCAGAUAUUACUUUUUCAGAGUUUAAGUGUUUAGGCUAUCUCAAUGUUUCUAUAGUUAGCCUUGUCCUAUGUUACUUUUAGAUGUAUGGAAGCCUUUUAGUGUUAUAACACUAUAUUUAUUCCCCCAUUCAAAGAAGAGGGGCAUAUUGGUUUGCACCUGUUGGUCGGUCGAUAGACCACAUGUUGUCCGCUUAAUAUCUUAAGAACCAUUCACUUGAUCGUAAUAUAUUUCAUAUGUGGGUUGGUUAUGAAAAGAAGAGGACCCCAAUUGUUUUUCAGGUCAAAAUGUCAAGGGUCAAUCUACUCUGGACAUAGGAAGACACUGCCUGCUCAAUAUCUUGAGAACCCUUUGCUUGACAGACAUCAAACUUGGUACACUGGUACAUCUCAAGGAGUAGAUUUGAGGUCAUAUGGUCAAAAGUCAAGGGGUAAACUGGACAUAGUAAUAUAUUGUCUCUUAUGUUUUAAGAAUUAUUUGCUUGAUUGACACCAAACCUGGUACAGCAUAAGGAGUAGAUGACCCCUAUUGAUUUUUAGGUCACUUGGUCAAUCCACUCCUGACAUAGGAAGAUAUUGUUUGCUCAAUAUUUCGAAUUGAUGAUACUACUAUCAAUCAAAUUAUGCAUGUGUAUAACCCUUUUCAAUUUUGCACCAUGGAGGCUUAUAUGUUUUACAAACACCUCAUGUUUUAUAGUUUGUGAAAGCUUGUUAGGGUCAUAACUUUAGAUUUUCUUAUUAUGGUACUUGCCUGUCAGAGACUGGGUAUGGUGUUGUCUGUCCGGACCUUGUAAGAUGGGAUACAGACUGAACCGUAAGCUCUAGAAUCUUACAACUUGGUACAUUUGAUCACCAUAAAAGGAAGAUGCUUAUUGUUUUUUAAGGUCAAGGUUGUAGGUUCACUUAAUAGGAAAACCUUGUUUGAGAAAAUUACAGAUUCUUGAACUGAGUAUUUUGAGGAAACGUUACAUAGAAAGUACAUGAUUUGUCAAAUUUCUCCCAAUAUUCAACUGAGAACCUUAUUCUGCAGAGUAUUUGUAUGGGUAUGGAAAAUGUGUAUGUGGCUAUGAUUUUGAUUUUUGUUUAAUUUUUUGAUGUUGAAAAUUACAGGUUUAACCGAGUCAGUUUUUGAGGAAAUAUACAUGUAUUAAAUAAAUGACGGUUUGACCUUUUAACUCCUCUCACAGUUUUGAAGCUAGGGUCUUUGUAAAUAACUUCUUUGGUGUUUUAGAAUAUUUACAGAUUGUUGAUCAUGGUCAAUUUUGGGGAAAUAUUUUCCGCAGAGCUCUAGUUGUCUAUCUACCGGCCUCCUGUCACUUUUAAGUUUAGGAGCUUUUAUUCAUGGAAAGAAAGUAUGUGACAACCUGAUGAUGGCUGAUACUAUUUAAAGUCUUUUUAUACGCCCGUCUUAAGACGGGACAUAUUAUGGUAUAGCGUUCAUGUCCGUCCGUCUGUUAGCUUUUUCGUGUCCAACCCGUAACUUAAAUACUACAAGGCCUAGAAUCAUCAAACUUUGUCUGUAGAUACAUAUUGGGUAGAAGGUGUGUCGCACAUUAAAACCAGGUCACUGUGACUUUUCAUUAAGAAGAUAUCUGUCUGUCCGUCUGUUAGCUUUUUCGUGUCCGACCCGUAACUUAAAUACUACAAGGCCUAGAAUCAUCAAACUUUGUCUGUAGAUACAUCUUGGGUAGAAGGUGUGUCGCACAUUAAAACCAGGUAAAUGUGACUUUUCAUUAAGAAGAUAUGGCCAUAUAUGGCAAAAACUUGUCCGACUCAUAACUUGAAAACUUUUAGACCUAGAAUCACCAAAAUUGGUCAACUAAUGCAUCUUAGGUAGAAGGUGUGUCGCAUCCUACUUUAAGGUCACUGUGACAUUUAAUUAAGGUGAUAUAAAAAAAAUGUUUUAAUGGGUACAGUCUAUACUGUUAACAAUAUGUGACGGGCAUAUCAUGUGCCGUGGCGGUGCACUUUAUUCUAGAAAUGGCAUCAGAAAAACACCCUAUGUAACCUUUUCUGCUUGUACUCAUUUAUUUUUAUUGGAAAACUUAUUACUUGUUAUCAGCUACUCUAAAACAAUAUUGACUUGUGCUAUAAUAAAUUUGUAAACUUUA